rnacentral:rRNA from 1 species
UACAGAGGGUGCGAGCGUUGUCCGGAUUUAUUGGGCGUAAAGAGCGUGUAGGCGGCCAGAUAGGUCUGCUGUGAAAACUCGAGGCUCAACCUCGAGCUGUCGGCGGAAACCAUUCGGCUAGAGUCCGGAAGAGGAAAGCGGAAUUCCUGGUGUAGCGGUGAAAUGCGCAGAUAUCAGGAAGAACACCCGUGGCGAAGGCGGCUUUCUGGGACGGUACUGACGCUGAGACGCGAAAGCUAGGGGAGCAAACAGG